rnacentral:antisense_RNA from 1 species
GGACUGGCUGCUCAGACUCCACAAUUUAAUGAAAAAUCUGAGAUGAUGACUCAGAAAACCUCUAACGAUCUGAGGAAUAUAUUAAGGGAUUCCAAAGUCAAAGGCUGAUCAUGGAGGGCAUUGAUGAGGGGAGACUUCAGACUGAGUUUUGCUCUUGUCGCCCAAAAUGGAGUGCAAUGGCACGAUCUUGGCUCACUGCAACCCCUGCCUCCUGGGUUCAAGCGAUUCUCCUGCCUCAGCCUCCCAAGUACCUGGGACUAUAGCACGUUUUUCAGCACCAGGACAAGCGUCAUUGCUCAAGGAGAGCUUGGUUGACAACAACAGGAAAUUAGAAGGAGUCUGAAUUGUAACAAAUGUGGCAAGAGCACCAAGAUCACUCUGUGUGUGUUCACAGAAAAUGUACCAAAGGGAGAAGCCUUAAAAACAAAUGGCAGGUGUGGGCACCAGAGAAUCAACACAUCAGGAAGAGAAAAAUGGCAUGGUUUUAGUGUAAUUGUAAAAAGACGCCCUAAAGAGUGUCUAUCGGAUCACCCUCAGGUUGGGUCAAACGCUCCUCUUCUCGGCUUUUCGGGAGCAACCCUAUCUCAACAUUCACCAUCUUAAGAUGAGCAGACUGCAAGUUUGCCUCUCCCACCAGCAUGGGAGCUGCCGAAGCGGCGAGAACAGCGUUUCCGUCCAUCGAGCGCCAAGUCACCAGUCAGCUCCAGUCCUAUUUUGAAUUGAAGUAAAAGCUCCUCCCUA